CUGUCAGAAGCAGCAUGUAGCAGGCUGCUGGGUAAAACUAACCUUUUCCAAAUUUGUCAGGGAAAUGAUUCAAGGCAAUCUAUCGGUCUUGCCACUUUGUGAAAGCCACUGGGGAACCAAAUGUGCUAAGAGUCCUCCCUGUUUCCCUGGAGGUGAGUGGGAGCAGUUCCCUCACAUAAGAGUCUCAAACACUCCGGCUUCACUGUGCCCAAGAACAGCACGGUCCGGGGUGGUCCAGUCUGAUCCCAACCGGCCCACCCGGGGCAUCCGGUGGAAGUCUUCGCCGGAGGAUCCGAAGGCAGCAUCAACGCGGUUGUCUCUUGACACUGCACACAGCAUAGCAUUUAAUCUUCGGAUGUUCUAGUCACCACACAAAUAAAGAGACUGAGCAUCGGAGAAACUAAACAGCUUGCCUGAGGUCUUGUAGUAAGCUCUCGAAGAACAGCCAAAGUGUGAAGGCAAACCAGUAUGCCAUCAUACCCUUGGUCCAUCACGGCGGUUUAGAUCAUCAAGAUUCAUUACCAGGAGGAGUAGCAGCUGCUCCUUGGCCUCUGAUGCAAUUUGAAAACAAGUUUCUGUGAAGUUCCCCACAUCGCUCCACUUCACAAGCGGAAAGGAUGAAAGGCAUUCCUACUAUUAAUAGCUGGACUGCAUAAUGUAAAGUUUCAUUUCUAAAUUUUUUUUUUUUUUUUUGGAGACAGAAUUUCACUCUUGUUGCCCAGGCUGGAGUGCAAUGGCGCCAUCUCGGCUCACCACAACCUCCACCUCCCGGGUCCAAGCGAUUCUCCUGCCUCAGCCUCCCAAGUAGCUGGAAUUACAGGCAUGUGCCACCAUGCCCGGCUAAUUUUGUAUUUUUAGUAGAGACAGGGUUUCUCCAUGUUGGUCAGGCUGGUCUCGAACUCCCGACCUCAGGUGAUCCGCUCGCCUCGGCCUCCCAAAGUGCUGGGAUUCCAGGCGUGAGCCAUCGCACCCUGGCUAAAUAACUAUUUUAAGUCAUGUUUACUUUUUAUAAUCUUAUCACCUGAAAGUACUCACUAACCUAGAUGUUAGUGAGUACUAGAUGAGAUGUGGGUAAACCCCUGGUCUGAGGUGCUCAGGUCACCACUGCCAUCAAUUUUAAGUUACCUAACACUCCAGUGGUCUAGCAUUUGCUAGUGUUUUUGCUAAACAAAAUGAAGUAACAUUCACUCUGGUAUUAAAGUGAUGUUUGGGCUUCUUUCCAGGAUAUAUAAAUUACAUCUUUUCUAAGAAAAGACAAGUUGUACAAAUACUCAACAGUGGAAAUAUUAUCAAUAAACAUCACAAAUCAAAAAUGUUUAAUAGAUUCUUUUUCAGAAUAGCAGAUUUAAACCAAAAAGUUGAUGGAAAAUUCAGAGAAACUAAUGCUAUACAUUUCAUGAUUAGAAAAAACAAUGCCAUAAAAUAAUUACAGUCAGCAACAAAAACAGGGCUACAGUUAGUUCCCCCUUAUCUAUGAUUUUGCUUUCCAAAGUUUGUUUCC
rnacentral:lncRNA from 1 species